AGUUUCAGUGCAUUUGCGUGUGUGGAGCAAAGGACGCUUAUGAUAAAUGCGGAAGCACGUGGGCGUGAUGUGUUAAAACAACUUUACCGACUACAUAGGCCUACGUGUUCUGUUUGUGCACUUCAGUUAAGUAGGGAGCACGCUGUAGGCCUGGAGGCAGUGUGUCAUGCUGGAUUAGAAAAAGAUCUUUCCAAAGUGUUGAAAAAAAAUAUAAAGAAGUAUGGGUUCAUUUUGAUAAAAUAUUUCUGAUGAGGAAGAGGACCCCUGAUGAGGGUCCAGCAUAUACAAGUAGAAAGUAACCAAGAGAAGUAUCUUCGCUGAAGAAAUGUCAGCUGUUAAUCCUUAGACACCUGUGAACACCAAGCAGUCUCUUGAGUCCAAGACAUCAAGUGCAUCGUCUUUAUUAUACUUCUCUGACAUAACAGUUAGAGCUAAAGAGGAAGUUCAAGUAAUUGUCUGCAUUUACCAUUAUACUGUGUAAUUUUUUGCAACAACAGUGGGAAUCAUAACUGAAGAGACAAACUGACCAACAGGAAGCUUUGGAUCUGCUGAAUAUGUAUUUUUCUAGCAUUUUAUUGUGGUGUUCACUUUUAUUUUUCUGCACAAUGAUUUGCUCUUUACAGAAAUGAAAGCUCCCAAGUAAAGAACUCACCAAAUUAUGAUGUGAAAAGACAUGUUAUUUAAAACAAUGUUUAUAUUUAGCUUAAGCUUUACUUAAAUUUUACAAUCCAAGUUUAAGUAAAUGCAUGGGUAAUUUUGCAAAAUGUGUUAAAUAUUGUAUCUACACUUAGGCUAUUGUAUAACUGUUUUUUUUUUCUGUAAUUGCAUGUUUUUGUAAAUAAAUGUAUUAUUUUGUAAACGUUCCUCCUGCCAGCUUGAUCUAGUGAGUUCUUUAAUGGAUUUUAAAAUUGCUUUCAUAAUAAUGUCAUGUUUUUAUAUUUAUGUCAUGUUAUUUAUAUUAUAAUCUACAUAAUUAAAAUGAAAGUAAUGUUUUGGCUGGAUAUUAAUUUCAAAU
ensembl:lncRNA